rnacentral:rRNA from 1 species
AUUGAACGCUGGCGGCAGGCCUAACACAUGCAAGUCGAGCGGAUGAAGGGUGCUUUCUCCUGGAUUCAGCUGCGGACGGGUGUGUAAUGCCUAGGAAUCUGCCUGGUAGUUGGUGAUAACGUCCUGUAACGGGCUCUAAUACCGCAUACGUCCUGUGUGUGUAAUUUGUGGUUCUUCUGACCUCUCGCUUUCUUAUUUUCCUAGGUCGGAUUAGCUAGUUGGUGUGGUAAAGUCAUACCAAGGCGACGAUCCGUAACUGGUCUGAGAGGAUGAUCAGUAAAACUGGAAGUGAGACACGGAAAAGAAUACGACGGGAGGCAGCAGUGGGGAAUAGUGGACAAUGGGGGAAAGCAUGAUACAGAAAAGCCGCGUGUGUGAAGAAGGUCUUCGGAUUGUAAAGAAAGGUAAGUUGGGAGGAAGGGAAGUAAGAUAAAAAAUUGAUGUAUUGACGUUAACAACAGAAAAAGCAACGGCUAACUACGUG